CUUUACUAUAACUUGGCCCUGAAACCCGAGCUUGUCUGUGUAGCAUAGGUGGGAGACUUUGAAGUUCCGGCGCUAGCUGGAAUGGAGUCAUCAAUGAAAUACCACCCUGAUGAGCUUGUGUUUCUAACCCAGUCCCCUUAUCGGGGACGGGAACACGGUCUGGUGGGUAGUUUGACUGGGGCGGUCGCCUCCCAAACAGUAACGGAGGCGCACAAAGGUUCCCUCAGCCUGGACGGAAAUCAGGCGUAGAGUGUAUUGGCACAAGGGAGCUUGACUGUGAGACCGACAGGUCGAGCAGGUGCGAAAGCAGGUCAAAGUGAUCCGGCGGUCCCGAAUGGAAGGGCCGUCGCUCAACGGAUAAAAGGUA
rnacentral:rRNA from 1 species